CGACAUUGAGCAUUUCCACCAAAUUUUGGCAUAUGCUUGGAGUUCAUCAAAUUUGCCAACAAAGCAAUGCUGGUUGUGUUAGGAUUGGGUAUUACACCAUCUUACCUUCCCCCCCUUUUUUUUCUACUGCAAAACACUAUAAGUUCAAAAUAUGCUCUUAUUUUAUGUCUGAUUUUCAGGAUUUGGGAUGAUAAGGAAAAUACAAGAUAAGAAAGAGAAACAUUCAAGGUCUCUUCAGAUUAUGGAUGAACUACUUAGGCGUGCUUCAAGCUAUGGGUAUAACAGGAAUGGAAGAAAUCCCAAGCUAUCACAAUUCUGUAAAGAUGAGAAAACAACACCCUGUAACCUUGUGAAAGAACUAACACAAGAGAAUAAACCUGUUUCAGAUACUAAUAGAAAUGGGAAAGAAAGAAGUUGUUCUGUAAAUUGUCCACAUGUCAAAAAUGGCAGCAAAGACACUUCACCUUCCAGAAGUUCCUUAGAAAUUACCAACAAGGAUAGAGGAGAAAAGAAGAGAACUGUGGAAUUUGGAAACAUGGAGACACCAAUACUAAUUGCAGCAAAGAAUCGUGUCAAGGAAAUGGUGGACAGCAUCCUCGAGGAGUUUCCAGUGGCCAUUCAUGACAGGAACAAAGAAAAGAAGAAUGUAGUGCUGUUAGCAGUGGAGAAUAGACAACCUGAAGUGUAUGAGCUUUAACUCAAGAAGAAUAUUCUGAAAGAUAGCGUGUUUGGUGUAGUCGAUAAUGAGGGGAACAGUGCCUUGCAUCUGGGUGCAACGUUAGGAGAUUAUCAACCUUGGCAUAUUCCAGGUGCUGCAUUGCAGAUGCAAUGGGAAAUCAAGUGGUACAAGUAUGUGAAGAAUUCUAUGCCCCGACGUUUUUUCAUUCACUACUAAAACGACAAUCAAACUCCAAAGCGGAUCUUCACCAACCACCACACAGAACUUGUAAGCAGAGGAGGCAAAUGGCUAAAUGAUACUUCCAGUUCAUGCUCUGUUGUUGCUACUCUCAUUGCUACUGUUGCCUUCGCCACAUCUACCACGAUACCAGGCAGCUUUAAGAACAAUAACGGCAGACGAAACCUUGAGCACCAAGCAGCUUUUAAUCUCUUUGCGAUUUCAUCGCUUAUUGCUCUCUGCUUUUCGGUGACUACUAUGGUCAUGUUUCUUGCUAUUGUCAGCCCUAGGCACCAAGAGGACGAUUUUCACAGGGUCUUGCCUGAGAAGCUUUUGUUGGGCUUAACAACUCUUUUCAUAUUCAUAUCAGCUAUUUUGGUGUCUUUCUGUGCGGGACAUUUCUUUAUCCUUAGAGAUGGGCUCAAGCGUGCUGCAUUUCCUGUCUAUGCAAUAACUUGCCUUCCAAUAUCAUUUUUUGCUUUGGUGCAGUUCCCAAUGUACUUCGAUGUUGUAUGGACCACUUUUAGGAAGGUUCCAUAACGAAGGUAUAAGGUGAAUCUCUAGAAUUUCAUGUUCUCGAAACUACUUGUUGAUACUGUUGGUGAAAUAAGGUGUGUGUAUAUAUAUGUUAAUGUAGUUGGGAUUGUCUACGUUGCUUUCGAUUGGACAACAAGAUUGGAAAUUGUCUCUGACAGCA